rnacentral:rRNA from 1 species
UUACGAGGUCAGGACACUGUGAGGAUCGACAGAUUGAAAGCUCUUUCUUGAUUCAGUGGGUGGUGGUGCGUGGCCGUUCUUAGUUGGUGGAGUGAUUUGUCUGGUUAAUUCCGUUAACGAACGAGACCUUAACCUGCUAAAUAGUCACGCGAACCGGUCCGCAAGGGCUCAAAGUUCGCGGCUCGACUUCUUAGAGGGACUAUUCGCACCCGCCAGCGAAUGGAAGUUUGAGGCAAUAACAGGUCUGUGAUGCCCUUAGAUGUUCUCGGCCGCACGCGCGUUACACUGACGGAGUCAACGAGCGUUUUUCCUUGCCCGACAGGGCUGGGUAACCUCCUGAAACUCCGUCGUGAUGGGGAUAGAUCAUUGCAAUUAUUGAUCUUGAACGAGGAAUUCCUAGUAAGCGCGAGUCAUCAACUCGCGCUGAUUACGUCCCUGCCCUUUGUACACACCGCCCGUCGCUCCUACCGAUUGAACGGUCCGGCGAGAACUCCGGAUGGUC